GAAUCUUCCGCAAUGGACGCAAGUCUGACGGAGCAACGCCGCGUGAACGAAGAAGGUUCUCGGAUAGUAAAGUUCUGUUGUUAGGGAAGAACACGUACCAUUCAAAUAGGAUGGUACCUUGACGGUACCUAACGAGAAAGCCCCCGCUAACUACGCGCCAGCAUCCGCGGAAAUACGUAGGCGGCAAGAGUUGUCCGGAAUUAUUGGGCGUAACGCGCUCGCAGGCGGUUUUUUAAGUCUGAUGUGAAAUCUUGCGGCUCAACCGCAAGCGGUCAUUGGAAACUGGAGAACUUGAGGACAGAAGAGGAGAGUGGAAUUCCACGUGUAGCGGUGAAAUGCGUAGAGAUGUGGAGGAACACCAGUGGCGAAGGCGACUCUCUGGUCUGUAACUGACGCUGAGGAGCGAAAGCGUGGGUAGCGAACA
rnacentral:rRNA from 1 species